rnacentral:rRNA from 1 species
GGGUAACCUGCCUGUAAGACUGGGAUAACUCCGGGAAACCGGGGCUAAUACCGGAUGCUUGUUUGAACCGCAUGGUUCAAACAUAAAAGGUGGCUUCGGCUACCACUUACAGAUGGACCCGCGGCGCAUUAGCUAGUUGGUGAGGUAAUGGCUCACCAAGGCGACGAUGCGUAGCCGACCUGAGAGGGUGAUCGGCCACACUGGGACUGAGACACGGCCCAGACUCCUACGGGAGGCAGCAGUAGGGAAUCUUCCGCAAUGGACGAAAGUCUGACGGAGCAACGCCGCGUGAGUGAUGAAGGUUUUCGGAUCGUAAAGCUCUGUUGUUAGGGAAGAACAAGUACCGUUCGAAUAGGGCGGUACCUUGACGGUACCUAACCAGAAAGCCACGGCUAACUACGUGCCAGCAGCCGCGGUAAUACGUAGGUGGCAAGCGUUGUCCGGAAUUAUUGGGCGUAAAGGGCUCGCAGGCGGUUUCUUAAGUCUGAUGUGAAAGCCCCCGGCUCAACCGGGGAGGGUCAUUGGAAACU